AUGAACUCCGACAUCCCCGUCCCUCUGAAGGAACAUUACAUAACAGCUCGUCAAAUCUACAGGCUGAAAUAUGAUCUAUCAGCAAAAAUGAAGAUAAAUAAGAAAGAUGCUUUAUCAGUUCAACUUUUGGUGAAUGAAUUAGUCGCAGAUAAGCCAGAUUCUAUUCUAGUGUUUAAACCGCAGGGUAAACCAGUGGAAUUAGGAGAAGUUCCUAAAGAACAGCUGUCUGCUCCAUAUUUGUUUGUAUUAGGAAUUCAACAGGAAAGGCAAAGAGUUGAAUUGAUCAACAGUUGCAGGAAAGUUCUUUGCAUCAAUAUUGAACAUUUUCCAAAAAUGUACAAUUUUUCGCUCAUGAGUUUCUUCAUCCAGGAUGAAUUUAGUGAAGGAUAUCCUAUAGCGCAUUUUAUCACAAAUCGACUUGAUUCCAACACACUCACUUCUCUUUUCAGCAUUUUUAAGGCCAAUAAUCCUUACUUCGAACUAAACGCUUUCAUGACCGAGGAUAACCAUAUUUUGUAUGAUGCUUUCUUACAAGUCUUCGAUCGAAAACCAAUUCAUUUAUUGUGCAAGAUGGAUGUGAAUGCCUCCUUCUUGAAGCAAUUGAACGAAAAAGUCGAAAACUCUGAGCUUGUAGCAGAAAUGCACUCCAGUCUCAUGGCUGCAUUGGAAGAAAACGAUAUAGAAACUUUCAAAACGAUGUUAUCCAGUUUUCUAAGUAAGUAUGAAGAAAUCAGCCCAAAUUUCUGCAAGCACUUCUCUUCCCGCUAUGCAAAGAAAGCUGAGCCAUGGGCCAUGUGCUUUCGAAACCUUCCCUAUGCAGCUGCAGAUAGCUCCGAAUUUUGCAAAGUCUUCCGCAGAAAAAUAAAAUUUGCAUAUAGACUCCAAAAAGCUAACAGGCGAAUGGAUGAUUUCAUCAAUGUAAUUCUAAAAACGGACAGGUUUUUCCAUCUAGCAGUAAUAUAUAAGAGAUUCACAAAUGAAGUGCCGCACAUCGAAGGAAUUGAAUCGCUUAGUCGACACGCAGAGGGGUCACUCAUUCCAGAUGAAAGUGUUACUGCCGUCACGGUAUCUAAAUCAAAAUUUAAAGUGAAGUCAGACGAUAAAGAAGACUCUUUUUACACUGUUUCAGUGUUACUUGAUAAAUGUAGUGUGCCAACAGCUUGUUACAUUCAGUGCCACAAGUCCUCAUGUCAUCCUCUCUGCUGUCAUAUGUACUCUUGCAAUUGUCCCGACCAAAAUUCACUCUGCAAGCACAUACACAAAGUUCAUUCUUUGAAUAAGCAAGACCCAAACCAGGCAAAAUCUGACAAACUCAAUGAAUCGGACGAAUCGGACUGCGAAUUGGAUUUCAGCACACUCCUUAAAAAAGCAGCUGUCCCACCUCCCGAAAUGACCGAGGAACAAAGGCUCUUAGCCGUAGCCAAAAAAGCUGUCAGAGAACUGGAAACUCGUUUAGCAAACCCCAAAUCUGCCCCAUUGUCACAUCAUAUAAACAUAACCUUGAGCUCUCUUGCAUCAGAAUGUGAUAGGCUGAUUCACCGUCCAGAAAUGCCAAAAGUGGUAAAAAUGCCUACUCCUGCAAUCCUCAAAGAGCCUACUGUUGUAAUCGUCAAAGAGCCUACUCCUGUAACCGUCCAAGAGCCCAACGCUAAAACCGUUCAAGACAACUCCUGUCCUCCACCCUCAAUCCCAAGUUACCAUCACAUUGAUCAUGCUUACACGGAUCUCACUGGAAAUAAAAGAAGCUCAAAAGCGGAUCCGCCACAAUCCAGCCCAGUACCGAAGAAAACUAUCAAGUUGGAUAAUGUUGCUAAACCUCAGCCUGCCAAGGUCAAGCAAAUUAGGAUACCUUUAAAAUGUUACACCCAACUUGAUACUGUAAAAAAUUUUUCAGGGUCUUUGAAACUCUCGGAUUCUUUGUUUAAAACACUGUUCAAAUUAGGUCCAUACAAUGUUAAGUUGUACCAUCUAAAAUCAUUAGAUCCUGAUAUUCCGGAUGAGGACUUGGAGCGAAUCCAAAUAGAAGUGCCUGGUUUUAAGAAAGGAUGGUUGUACGACUGUGUUAUCUAUUCUUUUCUUACGAAAAUUGCUCAGCCUCACAUAUCUGUGAAAGUCAUCGACCCCUGCGUAAGUCAGCUUGUGUUGCGCUCAAAUGGAGAGCCCGUACCAAUAGAAUCAGUAGCACAUUUUGAUAGAAUCCUCAUUCCAUGCAACCCUGACGAGAGCCAUUGGCUACUGGUCGUUGUUUAUCCUGCCGUGAAAUUGAUCCAUUUCUUCGACCCGCAGAGCACUAUUGUUGAGCCGGAAUAUCAUAAAUUUAUCGGCUUUUGGGCAAAGACUAUUUCGAAGGCCUCAGGUAUUCCAUUGAAAGAGUGGCAGAUGAAGUCGCCAAAACAUACUAAACAAACUGAUAAUCUUAACUGCGGUGUUUAUGUUGCAUGGUACGCCGACCAGAUUUUGAAUAAUAAAACAACAUUCACUUCAGUGGACAUUCCAAAAUUCAGACGGUACAUGUAUGAAUGUUUAAGAGUUGGUCUCGUGGAGGAGGCUUAG
rnacentral:lncRNA from 1 species